rfam:Ailuropoda melanoleuca scaffold2498_21, whole genome shotgun sequence.
ACAAAGGCCCUUUUCAGGGCCGCCCACAUGUCAUGAAAGAGCUG